CAAAAAAUGUCAAUUUCCAAGAGCAAGACGCAACAGUUAGAGAUUAGUCAACAAAUAAGUCAGCAGUACACCAAUGAAUGGGGGAUACAUCACAGUUAAUUGAGUUAGCAAAGAACAAUAUUUUUUCUUCACUCUAGUUAAAAAGAAUGACGGAAGUCACUCUAGUCAAAUGUUAACAUGUUUUAAAUCUAAAUUGUAGUCUCUCUGUGAUUAGUAAAAUAUUUACAGUCUAGGAUUAUUGAAACAUUUUGUUAUAUAGUUUCCAACCGCUAACGAUAAUAGCAGCAGGAGUUAAGUGUUUAUCAAUAGUAAGAGAGCUUCAUAGUUAUAAAGUAAGCAAUGACAAUGUAAGAAACAGAAAUGCUCACCCUGGUUCAGUAGGCGACAUACAUGUGGAAGCACAGGCAAGAAUGGAGUAAGAUUACGACGCUCUGCAAGUAACUCUGAAAGAUAGCUGCCAAAACAGAACAUAUCCAAAUCAGGAAGAUCCACUUUAAAAAAGAUCAUCAUGAUCAAGAAACCAAAUACACUUAUUAAAUCUGAGAUUCAAGUUUACACUCUUUCAGUGAAGUGGAUCUAGUCAUUCUUCUUACAAAAAAAAACUGUGACUUUAACUGUUUCAAUAAGUCAAAGAACAUAAAUCAACAGUAAGAAUAGUCAAUGAUCUAUAAAUCUAUCAUACCACCUGAUGCGUACACGACACUAACAUAAAAAAAAAGUCAGAUUUGAGAUUACUAAUGAGAUCUACGGAUUAACAUCGGCAAAACAAAGAUUAAACAAUAAGUCAUCAGAUUCAUCAGCCACAAUAAGAUUCACAAC